UACGGGGGGUGCGAGCGUUAUCCGGAAUUACUGGGUUUAAAGGGUGCGUAGGCGGCCGCGUAAGUCUGUGGUGAAAGGCCGGGGCUCAACCUCGGGACUGCCUCGGAUACUGCGCGGCUUGAGUCGAGAUGAGGUCGGCGGAAUGCGGCAUGUAGCGGUGAAAUGCUUAGAUAUGCCGUAGAACACCGAUUGCGAAGGCAGCUGACUAGACUCGGACUGACGCUGAGGCACGAAAGCGUGGGGAGCGAACGGG
rnacentral:rRNA from 1 species